rnacentral:rRNA from 1 species
UACGGAGGAUCCAAGCGUUAUCCGGAUUUAUUGGGUUUAAAGGGUGCGUAGGCGGCCUAUUAAGUCAGGGGUGAAAGACGGUGGCUCAACCAUCGCAGUGCCCUUGAUACUGAUGGGCUUGAUUACACUUGAGGUAGGCGGAAUGUGACAAGUAGCGGUGAAAUGCAUAGAUAUGUCACAGAACACCAAUUGCGAAGGCAGCUUACCAAGGUGUUAAUGACGCUGAGGCACGAAAGCGUGGGGAUCAAACAGG